AACGAACGCUGGCGGCAUGCCUAACACAUGCAAGUCGAACGAGUACCUUCGGGUGCUAGUGGCGCACGGGUGAGUAACGCGUGGGAACCUGCCUUUCGGUACGGGAUAACGUCGGGAAACUGACGCUAAUACCGUAUAUGUCUUUGGAUGAAAGAUUUAUCGCCGGAAGAGGGGCCCGCGUCUGAUUAGGUAGUUGGUGAGGUAACGGCUCACCAAGCCUUCGAUCAGUAGCUGGUCUGAGAGGAUGAUCAGCCACACUGGGACUGAGACACGGCCCAGACUCCUACGGGAGGCAGCAGUGGUGAAUAUUGGACAAUGGGCGCAAGCCUGAUCCAGCAAUGCCGCGUGAGUGAUGAAGGCCUUCGGGUUGUAAAGCUCUUUUGCCUGCGACGAUGAUGACGGUAGCAGGAGAAUAAGCCCCGGCUAACUUCGUGCCAGCCGCCGCAGUAACAC
rnacentral:rRNA from 1 species